UUUUUUUUUUUUUUUUUUGUCUUUUUGCCAUUUCAAGGGCUGCUCCCGUGGCAUAUGGAGACUCCCAGGCUAGCGGUCCAAUUGGAGCUGUAGCUGCUAACCGACGCCAGAGCCACAGCAACGUGGGAUCCAAGCCGUGUCUGCAAUCUACACCACAGCUCACAGCAACGCCGGAUCCUUAACCCACUGAGCAAGGGCAGGGAUCGAACCCGCAACCUCAUGGUUCCUAGUCAGAUUCGGUAACCACUGCGCCGCGACGGGAACUCCUGGAACCUCAUUUUUUUUAACGUUUUCCCAGAGGUGGUUUUCAUGGGCAUCAGUGCUAAAUUCUACCUGUAGCAUUUGGGGAAGCAAUCCAAAGCUGAUCAGAAAUCAGCUGUCUCUUGGGUGUAAAGGUUAUACUAUAGUCUACCUUUCCAUGUUGCUUUUAUUCUAGACUUCCUGGGUAUUACUCCUCGAUUGUCAGAAAUUUUAGCACCUCGCUCCUUGCUUUCUUUCUCAAAUCCACCUGUUAAGUAACUGUUCCUAAGUUCUAUGCUCUAAUUUCACUGCUGUAGGAUAUUUUAGUGUAGAUAGUUUCCUAUUGCCUGAUCUGCAUUUUGCCUGAACAGUAGUCUUCUGCUCUUGGAAAAUUUCAUUCAUGCUUUAUCCAUUCAGUGUAGAAGGUACUAAGACUGGACUCUGAAAGAAUGUUACUGGAACUUUGGCCAUCAACCAUAGGUUUGUUUAUUUAUUUAUUUAUUUUUGCUUUUUUACGGCUGCACACGUGACAUAUGGAGGUUUCCAGGCUAGGUGUCAAGUCAGAGCUACAGCAACGUGAGAUCCCAGCUGUGUCUGCGACCUCUAUACCACAGCUCACAGCAACCCUGGAUCCUUAACCCCUGAGCUUGGCCAGGAAUUAAACCUGCAACCUCAUUGUUACUAGUCAGAUUCGUUUCCGCUGCGCCAUAAUGGGAACGCUGACCUUAAGUUUGGAGAGUUGGUUCUGUACUAUUGCUGAGCACUGAACUGUUGGAUCCUGUGCAACUAAAUCCUUGAUCUUCCUAAUAUUAGAUCCUACAAAGAGACUUUUUUGUUAAAUUUAUUUUUGUUGCUACUUUUCCUGUAUAUGUUUAGUGAUUCUUGAUCUAAAACAAAUAGACUACCAGAUAUUUCUUCAGCAAAGAUAGGUUUAUUCAGAAUUCGCAGAGAAUUGAAAUUUGGGGUCUCCAACCAUGGUUUGCCACUGGCAGGUCCCCCCACAGCAAGGGAAGAGCUCUUUUAUAGAAGGGAAAAGGAAAUGGGAGGGCUAGAAUCAAUAGAUAGCCCAUGGCUUUCCAUUGGCUGAGUUCUUUGGAGGAGAGGUGUUUCUACUUCCCACUGGGCUCUGCUAUAGUCACAGGGUAUGAGACCUCCCCCUGCUGGUCUCCUUACUGUGUUUUAGGAACAGUUUCUGUUUGUUCAUGUUUUACAUAAUGAAACUAUGUGGAAUUUAGGGGUACACAUAAUGCUCUAUAACUGGUAUUGUAUGGCUUUUUUUCCACUUCCCUAGCUUCUCAGAUCCUAUUCUUCUUAUUUCUAGUGACCAUUGUUUUUAGUCCAUUUCAUCUUCCUACCCAUUGGUCUCAGUUUGGAUAUUGCCAUCAUCUUAACGUUACUGAAAAAUCUGAGGCUAUUUCUUAACUUCUGACCACAGUAUUUUAUCUUUCACUAAAUUACUCAGACUGCACAUAUUUAAAUUUUAUAGAAAACUCUUUUUCCUGUCUUCUCUUUCUUUUAGCUUUUUGUUUCACACUAUUCUUUCCUUAGAUUUCAUGAUCCAUCACUUCAGUGGAUCCUGGAACUUGUACCCAUGUCUUCAAUUCCCUUGUCCUUCUGUUGAACCCAUAGGUUUUACCAACCUUAUUCAUGUUAUCAGUUCACCUUUUCACUUCUCUGAGCCUCUUUUCAGUCUUAAUACUUCUGGAGAAAAUUAUGCAACAGUAUGGGUUAUUGGCAUUAAAAAAUAUUGGUCUUCAUUCCCAGUGGGCACUGAAUAUUUUAAAAUAAGCAUAUGUUUGUUUUAAACAUAGUCAGCUUCCCAUUCUCCUCAGUGGAUAUUUUAAACCUUUUCCACACUCCUUAAAUGUCUAACUGGGGUUUCUUAAUCUUGGCACUACUGGCGUUGUGGACUAAAUGUUGUGAGGGACUGUCUUGUGCCUAGUACACCAUUUAGCAUCCCUGUCUUCUACCCACUAGGUGACAAUUUUAUAACCCCUAGUUGUAGCAAACAAAAUGUCUCCAGACAUUGCUAAACGUUUCCUGGGUUGGGAGGGGGGGGCAAAGUCAUGCUCCAGUUGAGAACCACUCAUCUAAACUUACCAGUUUUACCUCUGCUCUUAGAUAUGGUCUUGUCUUUGACUUCAGAGUUUAUACUCCCACAUGGGAGUAUCCCUGUCUUCCCUGGCACUAACCUUUAGAAAGAAUCCUGCAUCUGUAGUCAGCUUAUUAUUUCCUCUCCUGAGCUAUUUCUCCUUACCUUCCUGCACUUUAGUCAACAUUUCAACAGGGACAUGUUCCUUCCAUUAAAACAGGAGCAAAAAAGCAGUCCUAAACUCAAGGUUACCUUAUAGCCAAAGUUCUUUAGAAUAACAUCUUCUCAUUUCUCAGUCCACUGCAUUCUGACUUAAGCUCCAGCUUUCCACAGGAACUGCUCUCAGUGAGGUCCUCAGUGACCUCCUUGUGGGAAAUUCACAAGACGUUUAUCAGCCUUUACUUGAUUCAUUGCACUGCUUGGCUCUUGUCUCAUACUUUUCUUUCUAGAAGGAAUCUCAUCCAGUAGAUUCUGUAACAUCUUGUUUUUCUGACCAUCCUUUUUCAUUUUUGGCCUUUUAUUCUAAAAAGUUUCUUUUGCAGGAUUCAAGACUUUUUUGAGGAUUUUUAGAUUUUUGUGCAUAGGUGGGUGGACUUUAAAAAACAUGCUGAUGGCUUCAUAUAUUUUAUUUGCUAGGGACACAAAAUACUCUCUAGCCCUGUGUUUAAUUAUUCACUAUCAUGCAUUUCAGAUCUAUAAAUUCCAUCAGAAGUCCUUUAAAUGUCAAUGAUACAUCACAUUCACAAAUUCUUAUUCCAGCCAGUCCUUUCCCAUCUGCUAGGAUUUCAGUCUAUGAAAAUAUGUCAUUUACCUAGUUCCCUAAACCUCACAUAAGGUUUGACUCAUUUUCUAUUGCACUCCAAGAACAAAUCAAGUUGCAAAACAUUUGAACUCUACCUCUCAUUAUUAUUCCAAUGUAUACUUUUCUCUUCAUUACAACUGCCACUAUCUAAGUACCUUGACUUUUGUCUGGAUUUUUGCAACAGCCUGUUAACUGACCUCCAGCCUGCAAUCUUAUCCCUUUCACAUCUGUACUUUAUGUGGCUGUUAGAAUGAUUGUUCUAAAUAGUUUAUCUUACAAUGUUAUUUCCCAUCAGAUCUGUUUGUUAGCUUUCCAUCACUUAUAAAUUAAGAUAAAAAUUGCUUGCCAUGUGUUAUAAGAUCUCUUGCAUUACUGAUACUACUAGUAAAAAUAAAAGAGAGCAGUAAUAAUUGCCAGUCUUUUUCAGCACUUAAUUUGUGCAAGGUACCAUAGCAAAUUCUCUUAAUCUUUUGAAAUGUUAUUAUCAUCAUUUUCCAGAUGAAUGAACUGAGGCACAGAGGGGAGGUUUAAACUGUUUUUGUUAGCAUUGCUGUGAAAGAGAAAAACCGAGACAUGGAGAUGAACUUGGAUUCAUAUGACUCCAAAAUCUGUCCUUUUACCUGGUACCCAAAAAGCCCUACUUUCUCUAACUGCAGUCUUCAGGCCAAGAGUUUGCAGUUUAUCAAAUGUGAUAGGACUUUCUUACUUCCCACCCCCUUCCCCCAUGUCAUUUUCCCCAGGGAGCUUUUCCUGCUUAUUUUUUUCCCUGAAGCCUGGUUGAUGUACCUCUCUCUUAUGUUACGCAGGAUACCAUACAGCCCCAUGUGAGGUCUUUCCAAAGCGUGGUGUGGUCUUGAUAAAAGGGGAACAUGUAUUGAAUGCUGAAUUAAGAAAUAAAUGGAUAAAUAAUCAUGACCUGUUAUUACUAAGUUGAACAUUGUAUUAUGUAUUGUGCUAUGCUUGCUGCAUAACAGGUUACUCCCAAAUUAGUGACCUUAAGUAACAAAUACUUACUGUCUCAAUCUUUCUGUGGGUUAGGAAUCUAGGCACAGUUUAGCCAGGUACCCUUGGGUCAAGGUCUUCUAUUUGAUUAGACUCAAGCUGUCCUAUAUAGGCUGAGGCUGCAGUCUCACCUGAAGACUUGAUGGAGAAGUGGAUUCUGCUCCCAAACGUCCGUGGUUGUUGCCAUGUGGGUUUCUCCAUAGGGCUGCCUUACCACAAGGCAUGCAGGGUUGAAAGGCACAGUAUUCAAUCUAAGAAGUGAUAUCCCAUCACUUCUUUCAUGUUCCAUUCAUUUGAAGCAAAGUGAGUGUGUCCAACCCACACUCAAGAGGAGGGAAUUAUACAAGGUUUUGAAUACUGGGAAGCAUGAGUAUCGUUGAUGGGUGUGUUUUAGAGUUUCCUUAUCACAAACUGUUGCUAUCUCAAAAUUUAUUACUGAGUUGAAAAAAAGAAAAUGCCCUUUAACAUGGCAUCUGAGUUUCCUAUGGUGUGUGAGGCAGUACUGUGUAUAGACCUGAGUCUUCUCUGAAUAUUAGAAAUUUGCUCUAUUGCACCUGAAAUUUGUUCAUUGAGAUCAUCAUCCAUGCAAACUAUAAUUCCAUCUGGACUAUAGUAUAAUUAUAGUCAAAUAAGUGGAAGUGCCUGAAAAAUACCAGAGUUGAACAGAACAUUCUGAAUAGUCUUGGAAUCAACAAUGGACAAGGAGAGGUAACUGGCGAAAACCAGCAGCCUGAGGAUGUACUCUCACCAAGGAAUGCAUAUAAUCUCCUGAAUUAAAUGUAAUUUUAUUCAAUAUAAACCAGCCUAUUAAAUUUUCAGAUUCCAGCCACAGAAAGAAUUAAUGACCAAUUUGUUUAGAAUUUUAUGUCAAUCAGUUCAUAGUAUAACCCUAGGUAACCUGUUGUAUAGUCUGAAGAGACAUACUGAAUAUAAGGUGAAUUUUAGAAGAAAUGAGCCUCCCUGAAGGUAGAACUUGUAAAGCUGAACUUUGUAUGUCCUGUUAACUGAGUCAGACCAUCUUGAUUGACCUUCAAAGGAGAUGGCGUUCAUUGCUAAAUCUGCCUGAAAACUGUUAAACCAUCCAAGGGUUUGACAGAAUGUUUUCUCUCAUACACAACACUAACAAUUAGGGAGUGCCGUCUAUGUUCCAGAAACAGUGUUAUGUACCUUAAUCCUUUAAAAUAAACCUGUGACUUUCCCUCUUAUUUUAUAAAUAGAAAUAGGGAAACCUUAUGGCUUGAUAAUUUGCCUAAGAUUAUAUAACUCAUUGAAUGUAGGCGUUAAUUUGAUUCAUUAUGAUUUCUGCUACUGAAUAUUUUUCUAAGGAAAAGGUGAGAUAAAAGAAUUUCGAGUUUGAAAGAAGGCUUGUCAGAAGUUGCUUUGGGAAAGGAAUUACCUAGUUUUCUAUCAUUUUUCUCUCCUUUUAUAAGGGCAUGUUUAUCUUGCAGCAUUUUUCAGCCCAUAACUUAGAGACAAAUGCAAAAUUCCACAUAUUCUAAUUUUUUUUUAACCUCUUAGAGCUUUUGUUUCAUUUUGAAAACACAUGAAAAGGUUGAAGUCAACGCUAUUGAAAUCAAGGCACCUGUAGGGCAGAUCCAUGUGGGUGUGGAGCUGCUCAACAAACAAUGGGAGAAUUGUUUUACUGGUGUAAAAAGAAUGUUUCCUGAUGAAACUGAAGGAAGAAGUUGAGCAUGCUUCUUAUAAUUAUCUGUGCUAGAUUUGGGACAUACCUUAGUGGUGAACUGUAUAUCUUUAAUAAUGCACACCAAAUAAAUGGAAGAGGCUGCAAAAAAGUAAAAUGAGUUAAUUGGGUAGAGGAGAUUUCUCCCACCCUCCAUACAUGUGCACAUUUCACUCAUACUUAAAUUUCAGGAGUUCCUGGCUCAGCAGGUUAAGAACCCAACUACUCUCUGUUGGGAUGCAGGUUCGAUCCAUGACCUCUCUCUGUGGGUUAAGGAUCCUGCGUUGCCACAAGCUGCCAUGUAGGUCUCAGAUGCAGCUUGGAUCUGGUGUGGCUAUGGCUGUGGUGUAAACUGGCAACUCUAAUUUGACCCCCUAGCCUGGGAACUUCCAUAUGCUGCAGCUGUGGCCGUAAAAAAAAAAAAAAAAAAAAAAA
ensembl:lncRNA